GGCCCAUCUAGUCUGCCCAAUUUUCUAAAUACUUUCAUUAGUCCCUAGGCUUAUCUUAUAGUUAGGAUAGCCUUAUGCCUAUCCCACGCAUGCUUAAACUCCUUUACGGUGUUAACCUCUACCACUUCAGCUGGAAGGCUAUUCCAUGCAUCCACUACCCUCUCAGUAAAGUAAUACUUCCUGAUAUUAUUUUUAAACCUUUG